rnacentral:rRNA from 1 species
AGUGAACGCUGGCGGUAGGCCUAACACAUGCAAGUCGAACGGCAGCACAGUAAGAGCUUGCUCUUACGGGUGGCGAGUGGCGGACGGGUGAGGAAUACAUCGGAAUCUACUUUUUCGUGGGGGAUAACGUAGGGAAACUUACGCUAAUACCGCAUACGACCUACGGGUGAAAGCAGGGGAUCUUCGGACCUUGCGCGAUUGAAUGAGCCGAUGUCGGAUUAGCUAGUUGGCGGGGUAAAGGCCCACCAAGGCGACGAUCCGUAGCUGGUCUGAGAGGAUGAUCAGCCACACUGGAGCUGGGACACGGUCCAGACUCCUACGGGAGGCAGCAGUGGGGAAUGUUGGACAAUGGGCGCAAACCUGAUCCAGCCAUACCGCGUGGGUGAAGAAGGCCUUCGGGUUGUAAAGACCUUUUGUUGGGAAAGAAAAGCAGCAGGUUAAUACCCCGCUGUUCUGACGGUACCCAAAGAAUAAGCACCGGCUAACUUCGUG